UACAGAGGUCUCAAGCGUUGUUCGGAUUCAUUGGGGCGUAAAGGGUGCGUAGGCGGCGCGGUAAGUCGGGUGUGAAAUCUCGGAGCUUAACUCCGAAACUGCAUUCGAUACUGCCGUGCUUGAGGACUGGAGAGGAGACUGGAAUUUACGGUGUAGCGGUGAAAUGCGUAGAUAUCGUAAGGAAGACCAGUGGCGAAGGCGGAUCUCUGGACAGUUACUGACACUGAGGCACGAAGGCCAGGGGAGCAAACGGGG
rnacentral:rRNA from 1 species